rnacentral:ncRNA from 1 species
GAACUGUAGAGUUUGAUCCUGGCUCAGAUUGAACGCUGGCGGCAUGCCUUACACAUGCAAGUCGAACGGUAACAGGUCUUCGGAUGCUGACGAGUGGCGAACGGGUGAGUAAUACAUCGGAACGUGCCCGAUCGUGGGGGAUAACGAAGCGAAAGCUUUGCUAAUACCGCAUACGAUCUACGGAUGAAAGCAGGGGACCGCAAGGCCUUGCGCGAACGGAGCGGCCGAUGGCAGAUUAGGUAGUUGGUGGGAUAAAAGCUUACCAAGCCGACGAUCUGUAGCUGGUCUGAGAGGACGACCAGCCACACUGGGACUGAGACACGGCCCAGACUCCUACGGGAGGCAGCAGUGGGGAAUUUUGGACAAUGGGCGAAAGCCUGAUCCAGCCAUGCCGCGUGCAGGAUGAAGGCCUUCGGGUUGUAAACUGCUUUUGUACGGAACGAAAAGACUCUGGUUAAUACCUGGGGUCCAUGACGGUACCGUAAGAAUAAGCACCGGCUAACUACGUGCCAGCAGCCGCGGUAAUACGUAGGGUGCAAGCGUUAAUCGGAAUUACUGGGCGUAAAGCGUGCGCAGGCGGU